GACCGUUCUGCAGGGAGUUGCCGGAGCCAGUGUUGACGUCGGACAUGAUGCCACACUUUGAGGACGUAGCGAUCAUUCCUAACCCCGGGGAGCGCGCCGAGGCCAUGCGCCAGCUGAUCAACCGCCUGCCAACCGCCAACCGCCUGCUGCUACAAUACAUGUUCAAGCAUAUGGGACACAUCAUUGCAAGGCAUCUUGUCAGCCGUCCCAGCCUCUCGUCACCCUAUCCCCGCUGGACUCUGGGUAAAGACGUGACCAACCCCCAGCCUCCAGCCUCUUGUCACACCUCCUAGCCUUUCCCCGCUGGACAUUGCUUCGAGACGUGAUGAACAACAACAGCCUUCAGCAUUUGCCACACCUCCGAGCCUCUCUCCUCGUCAUUUGCCCGGUGGACCCUGGACGAGGAGGACGUGAGGAAGAGGAGGUGAAGAUGAAGACGAGGAAUAAGUGGUUGUGCCGAUACGAAGGCCUGACUCUCCAACGGGUCACCUGUACAGCAAGAGCAAGAGCAGGACCGCCAGCCCGCCUCGGCCCCCAGCCCGCUCCAAGGCUCCCUCCAUGGCCUCCUGCAGGGCUUGAGGUGGUCAGGCUCCUCACAGUGCUGCCCCACGCAGUG